GAUGAACGCUGGCGGCGUGCCUAAUACAUGCAAGUCGAGCGAACAGACGAGGAGCUUGCUCCUCUGACGUUAGCGGCGGACGGGUGAGUAACACGUGGAUAACCUACCUAUAAGACUGGGAUAACUUCGGGAAACCGGAGCUAAUACCGGAUAAUAUAUUGAACCGCAUGGUUCGAUAGUGAAAGACGGUUUUGCUGUCACUUAUAGAUGGAUCCGCGCCGCAUUAGCUAGUUGGUAAGGUAACGGCUUACCAAGGCAACGAUGCGUAGCCGACCUGAGAGGGUGAUCGGCCACACUGGAACUGAGACACGGUCCAGACUCCUAAGGGAGGCAGCAGUAGGGAAUCUUCCGCAAUGGGCGAAAGCCUGACGGAGCAACGCCGCGUGAGUGAUGAAGGUCUUCGGAUCGUAAAACUCUGUUAUUAGGGAAGAACAAAUGUGUAAGUAACUAUGCACGUCUUGACGGUACCUAAUCAGAAAGCCACGGCUAACUACGUG
rnacentral:rRNA from 1 species